rnacentral:rRNA from 1 species
CCUACGGGAGGCAGCAGUGGGGAAUAUUGCACAAUGGGGGAAACCCUGAUGCAGCAACGCCGCGUGAGUGAAGAAGUCAUUCGUGAUGUAAAGCUCUAUCAGCAGGGAAGAAAAUGACGGUACCUGACUAAGUAUCCCUGGCCAAUUUCGUGCCAGCAGCCGCGGCAAUACGGAGGGGGCAAGCGUUAUCCGGAUUUACUGGGUGUAAAGGGAGCGUAGUCGGCGACGCAAGUCUGAAGUGAAAUGUCUGGGCUCAACAGUAGAAGUGCUUUGGAAACUGUGUGGCUAGAGUGCAGGAGAGGUAGGUGGAAUUCCUGGUGUAGCGGUGAAAUGCGUAGAUAUUAGGAAGAACACCAGUGGCGAAGGCAGCUUACUGGACUGUAACUGACAUUGAGGCUCGAAAGCGUGGGGAGCAAACAGGAUUAGAUACCCCAGUAGUC